GGAAUUGGCAUAAACGAAAUAACCGCAGAAUCCAGAGGGUUUCGCCAUUUUACGCAAUUUCCAUCAAUCGUGAGAAAUGCGUCGGCACAAAACUUCUAAUCUUGAGGCCACAGGUUCGAAUCCUGUCGGGCGCGCCA
rnacentral:tRNA from 1 species